ACACAAGCCCUGGGGCUGGGGGGAUUUUGGGGGCUGUGCCCCACUCCCAGCACCCUGGCUGCCUGCCCGGUGAUCCCCACACCCCACUGCAGCUCCAGGGCUUGGGGGAAAGUGCCCGGCGUUCCCAGAAGCAUCUCCUGAGCGGCCAAGCCAGCAGCAGCAGCAGUAGCCAAAGCUGGCAGGCGCUGGCUGGGGAGGAGGGGACCGGGCUGCUGGGAAACCCGGGCACGUUUUCCCUGGCUUUUCAAAGCGCUUCACAAUUUAUUUAUUUAUUUAUAUUAACUCUGCUUUCCAAAGCUGCUGAGAUGCACGAAAAAGAAACCAGCAGCGGGGUUCAGGGAGGGUCGUAACCACCCAACCAACCCCACUCCCCAGCCUCCGAGCACCUCCUCGGGGGACCUCAUCCAGCCCCCGGGGUUCUGCGGGGACGCAGCCGGUGCGCAGAGCAGCAGGGCCCAGCUCUGGCAGGCAGUUUUUCGGGUUGAGUGGGUGCCUGCUCUUCCCAGCCCACGGGAGCCAUCCCCGGCAGCGCUGUCUCCCCGCCAGGCGGCUGAUUUUAAUUCCUCCCGACUGCGCUGUCUCACCCGGCGCGCUGCUCCCGUGACAGCAUCAGGUGAGGCGCACAGCACCCGGCCAUGCAAGGCCUCCCCCUCUGAUCUCAGCUGGCCUGGUAGCGCUGAGCUGGCAGAUAACGAGGCAUGGGGUGGCUCGGGGCAAAGGGGGAGAGCUCCGGGAUGGAGCCUCCCUUCUUACAUCUACCCCCGACCCCAAAAAAAAGCGCAUCCAGGGGUGGUGGUUCGGCCCAGCGCUUUGCGCCCUGCCUCAGUUUCCCCUAUGCAAAGCAGGGCAAGGAAAAUUUGGCAACCAAACCGGCUAUGGAAAUGGCAGCGAUGUGAACCGAGGCUGCAGCACAGCCCAGGACUUUCCUGGGAGCAGGAGGGGGCUCAGGAGGUGGCGCUGGGCACCCGGGGGCUGUGCCCAGAAGUGGGGUUGGUGCCGCCGAGCCCACGCAGCGGGGUGGCAGGGCACGGAGACACCCUGCACAUGGGUUUGUCCUCGCACUGGUGGCACCAGCAGCUUCUGCGCCCUGGCACCGUCAUGCCCCAGCACCCGAGCCCCCGGGCACGUAGGGCCACGGCAUCUGGGGCCGAGGUUCCCACUCGCCACCCCUUUCCGCAGCAGCCCGGCUGCACCCAGAGGCGCCAGACGCUUGGGAAUAUGCAAGGAACGCUGCAUUAGGCAGAUGUGGGAUAACCUCGUGCCUCCCGCCCCUCCUCGCCCACAGAGCUCUCACCUCAGCCUCCGCCGGGGGCCCUGCAGCCCCCAGCCCCUGCUCUCGGC
rnacentral:lncRNA from 1 species